rnacentral:rRNA from 1 species
ACCCUAGUCUCAGUUCGGAUUGGAGUCUGCAACCCGACUCCAUGAAGCUGGAUUCGCUAGUAAUCGCGCAUCAGCCACGGCGCGGUGAAUACGUUCCCGGGCCUUGUACACACCGCCCGUCAAGCCAUGGAAGCCGGGAGUGCCUGAAGUGCGUGAGCGCAAGCAGCGCCCUAAGGUAAAACCGGUGACUGGGGCUAAGUCGUAACAAGGUAGC